rnacentral:rRNA from 1 species
UGCCAGCAGCCGCGGUAAUACGUAGGGGGCAAGCGUUGUCCGGAUUUAUUGGGCGUAAAGAGCGUGUAGGCGGUUUGGUAGGUCCGCUGUGAAAACUCGAGGCUCAACCUCGAGACGCCGGUGGAAACCAUCAGGCUAGAGUCCGGAAGAGGAGAGUGGAAUUCCUGGUGUAGCGGUGAAAUGCGCAGAUAUCAGGAAGAACACCCGUGGCUAAGGCGGCUCUCUAGUACGGUACUGACGCUGGGACGCGAAAGCGUGGGGAGCGAACAGGAUUAGAUACCCUGGUAGUCCACGCCGUAAACGAUGGGUGCUAGGUGUAGGGGGUGUCGACUCCCUCUGUGCCGAAGCUAACGCAUUAAGCACCCCGCCUGGGGAGUACGGCCGCAAGGCUAAAACUCAAAGGAAUUGACGGGGGCCCGCACAAGA